rfam:Sutterella wadsworthensis CAG:135 genomic scaffold, scf79
GAAGUUUUCCGGGCGGUCGUCGGCGGUUUUAGGCCGCGGGAGGAAAGUCCGGACUCCGCAGGGCGCCGUAGGAGGUAACGCCUCUCCGCCGUAAGGCGCGGAUUAGAGCAACAGAGACGAGCCGGCCUCGGGCCGGGUGAAACGGGCAAUCUCUACGGGGAGCAACAUCAAAUAGGCAGCCAAUGGGCGGGCCCCGUCCGGCUGCGGGUAGAUGGCUUGAGGCGGCGCGUGAGCGUCGUCCUAGAUGAAUGACCGCCGCCGAGGUCCUAUAGGACUUCGCGCGACAGAAUCCGGCUUACAAGAGAACUUCCGCC